rnacentral:misc_RNA from 1 species
UGGGGGCGAAUCCGUAACAAACCGACUUGACAGAACUCACCAUACUGUGGCAACCAGACAUGAUACCCGUGCUGAUCGCCAGCCUCCUCACCUUUUGUGGCGCGCUUGACAACUCGGUACUUGCGCCUGUCGGAAUAGCAAGUGCACAAGAAUGGCAGCUAGCAGCAUACACCAACACUCUGUCAGGUACAAUUGCUGUAAGGUUCAUACCGGUUUUGCCCGGGAACUUAUCAACAUGUGCCCAGGCCACCCUGACCGAAUAUAACAGGACUGUCACAAAUAUAUUAGGACCUUUAAAGGAGAACUUGGACACCUUGCUGUCCGAAUCAACAAAGCCGACAGCGAGGUUUGUUGGUGCUAUAAUAGGGACAGUAGCUCUUGGAGUUGCCACAUCGGCACAAAUAACUGCUGCAGUUGCCUUGAACCAAGCCCAAGAAAAUGCAAGGAACAUUUGGAGACUUAAAGAAUCUAUUAAGAAGACAAACGAGGCUGAUCUUGAGCUGAAAGAGGGACUGACCAGCACAGCAAUUGCACUGGAUAAAGUACAGAAGUUCAUCAAUGAGGAUAUUAUCCCUCAAAUUAAGGAGCUUGACUGCCAGGUGGUGGCAAACAAACUUGGGGUGUACUUAUCUCUGUACCUCACAGAGUUGACAACUAUAUUCGGUGCACAGAUCACGAACCCAGCACUGACACCUCUGUCCUUCCAGGCUCUUAGCAACCUAUGCGGUGGGAAUAUGGGAAAAUUAACUGAGCUUAUAGGAGUAAAAGCUAAGGAUGUUAACUCCCUAUAUGAAGCCAACCUGAUCACAGGGCAAGUGAUUGGAUAUGACUCAGAAUCUCAAAUAAUCCUGAUACAGGUGUCUUACCCUAGUGUAUCAGAGGUCACAGGAGUUAGAGCCACAGAGCUUGUCACUGUUAGUGUAACAACACCCAAGGGGGAAGGUCGAGCAAUCACCCCAAAGUAUGUGGCUCAAAGUAGAGUAAUAACAGAGGACGUUGACACCAGCACGUGCAGAUUCAGCAAAACUACGCUAUAUUGUAGAUCCAUAAUCACCCGGCCUCUGCCCCCGCUGAUUGCUAAUUGUCUCAACGGAGUAUAUCAGGACUGCCAAUACACAACAGAGAUCGGUGCUCUAUCGUCACGAUUCGUCACGGUUAAUGGCGGCGUCAUUGCCAAUUGUAGAGCAACUGUGUGCAAGUGUACCAACCCCCCAAAAAUUAUAGCGCAGAAUGACGCUAGCUCGUUGACAGUUAUAGACUCUGCAGUCUGCAAGGAGGUUGUCUUGGAUAAUGUACAGUUGAGGCUGGAGGGUAAGUUAAGUUCCCAAUAUUUCACGAACGUCACUAUAAACUUAUCUCAAAUAACCACAUCUGGCUCUCUGGAUAUCAGCAGUGAGAUCGGUAACAUUAACAACACAGUAAACAAAGUUGAGAGUUUGAUUGCGGAAUCAAACGCCUGGUUGAGCGCUGUGAAUCCCCACUUAGUGAACAACACAAGCAUCAUAGUCCUGUGUGUCCUUGCUGCGAUAUUCGUUAUAUGGCUAGUGGCGCUCACAGGGUGCCUAAUUUACGCUCUCAGGAAGUCGUCAACGGCAAGGUUAGCAGGCAUGGGAUUGCCCAACACAGGGAACCCGUACAUUGCUCAGAGCGCAACCAAAAUGUGACGACACCUGUGAGUCUGGGUCUCCCACGGUGCACUAGGGGACUGGCACAGUCAAUACAAAUGUAGUGUCUACAGCACUCCUCUAAUUAAGAAAAAA